rnacentral:rRNA from 1 species
UUCCGACCUGAGCUCAGUUGUGAUUACCCGCUGAA